rnacentral:rRNA from 1 species
CUUUCUGUCUAUACUGCUUCAGGCUGUGAACUUGUCAGAUUUCAUAACUUAAGUAGGGUCAGUCUAGGUUAAUACUUAGAUGGGUAACUCCAAGGAAAUCCACUUGCAGCAGGAAUU